rnacentral:rRNA from 1 species
GACGAACGCUGGCGGCGUGCCUAAUACAUGCAAGUUGAGCGCUGAAGGUUGGUACUUGUACCAACUGGAUGAGCAGCGAACGGGUGAGUAACGCGUGUGGAAUCUGCCUUUGAGCGGGGGACAACAUUUGGAAACGAAUGCUAAUACCGCAUAAAAACUUUAAACACAAGUUUUAAGUUUGAAAGAUGCAAUUGCAUCACUCAAUGAUGAUCCCUCGUUGUAUUAGCUAGUUGGUGAGGUACAGGCUCACCAAGGCGAUGAUACAUAGCCGACCUGAGAGGGUGAUCGGCCACAUUGGGACUGAGACACGGCCCAAACUCCUACGGGAGGCAGCAGUAGGGAAUCCUCGGCAAUGGACGAAAGUCUGACCGAGCAACGCCGCGGGAGUGAAGAAGGUUUUCGGGUCGGAAAACUCGGUUGGUAGAGAAGAACGUUGGUGAGAGUGGAAAGCUCAUCGAGUGACGGUAACUACACAGAAAGGGACGGCUAACUACGUG